GGCGGUGUAGCUCAGCUGGCAAGAGCAAACGGCUCAUACCCGUUAUGUCGGUGGUUCAAGUCCACUCACCGCUA
rnacentral:tRNA from 1 species